rnacentral:rRNA from 1 species
GUCUACGGCCAUCCCACCCUGAACGUGCCCGAUCUCGUCUGAUCUCGGAAGCUAAGCAGGGUCGGGCCUGGUUAGUACUUGGAUGGGAGAAAGUAAAUUAAAACAAAAAAACCUAGAAA